GAACGCUGGCGGCGUGCUUAACACAUGCAAGUCGAACGGUGAAGCCCUUCGGGGUGGAUCAGUGGCGAACGGGUGAGUAACACGUGGGCAAUCUGCCCUGCACUCUGGGACAAGCCUUGGAAACGAGGUCUAAUACCGGAUACGACCCUGGGAGGCAUCUCCUUGGGUGGAAAGCUCCGGCGGUGCAGGAUGAGCCCGCGGCCUAUCAGCUUGUUGGUGGGGUGAUGGCCUACCAAGGCGACGACGGGUAGCCGGCCUGAGAGGGCGACCGGCCACACUGGGACUGAGACACGGCCCAGACUCCUACGGGAGGCAGCAGUGGGGAAUAUUGCACAAUGGGCGAAAGCCUGAUGCAGCGACGCCGCGUGAGGGAUGAAGGCCUUCGGGUUGUAAACCUCUUUCAGCAGGGAAGAAGCGCAAGUGACGGUACCUGCAGAAGAAGCACCGGCUAACUACGUGCCAGCAGCCGCGGUAAUACGUAGGGUGCGAGCGUUGUCCGGAAUUAUUGGGCGUAAAGAGCUCGUAGGCGG
rnacentral:rRNA from 1 species